UACGUAGGGGGCAAGCGUUGUCCGGAAUUAUUGGGCGUAAAGCGCACGUAGGCGGUCUGUUAUGUCGGAUGUGAAAGCCCUUGGCUCAACUGAGGAAGUGCAUCCGAAACUGGCAGGCUAGAGUACGUAAGAGGGUCGCGGAAUUCCCGGUGUAGAGGUGAAAUUCGUAGAUAUCGGGAGGAACACCGGUGGCGAAGGCGGCGACCUGGGACGAUACUGACGCUGAGGUGCGAAAGCGUGGGGAGCAAACAGG
rnacentral:rRNA from 1 species